CCUACGGGAGGCAGCAGUGGGGAAUAUUGCACAAUGGGGGAAACCCUGAUGCAGCGACGCCGCGUGAGUGAAGAAGUAAUUCGUUAUGUAAAGCUCUAUCAGCAGGGAAGAAAAUGACGGUACCUGUGUAAGAAGCCCCGGCUAACUAUGUGCCAGCACCGGCGGUAAUACGUAGGGGGCAAGCGUUAUCCGGAUUUACUGGGUGUAAAGGGAGCGUAGACGGCAGUGCAAGUCUGGAGUGAAAGGCGGGGGCUCAACCCCCGGACUGCUGUGGAAACUGUACGGCUGGAGUGCAGGAGAGGUAAGUGGAAUUCCUGGUGUAGCGGUGAAAUGCGUAGAUAUUAGGAAGAACACCAGUGGCGAAGGCGGCUUACUGGACUGUAACUGACGGUGAGGCUCGAAAGCGUGGGGAGCAAACAGGAUUAGAUACCCGAGUAGUC
rnacentral:rRNA from 1 species